rnacentral:rRNA from 1 species
GGAACUGCCAUCGAAACUUUUCAGCUAGAGUUUGAUAGAGGAAAGUAGAAUUUCUAGUGUAGAGGUGAAAUUCGUAGAUAUUAGAAAGAAUACCAAUUGCGAGGGCAGCUUUCUGGAUCAUUACUGACACUGAGGAACGAAAGCAUGGGUAGCGAAGAGGAUUAGAUACCCUCGUAGUCCAUGCCGUAAACGAUGUGUGUUAGACGUUGGAAAUUUAUUUUCAGUGUCGCAGCGAAAGCAAUAAACACACCGCCUGGGGAGUACGACCGCAAGGUUAAAACUCAAAUGAAUUGACGGGGACCCGCACAAGUAGUGGAGCAUGUGGUUUAAUUCGAAGAUACGCGCAGAACCUUACCAACACUUGACAUGUUCGUCGCGACUUCAAGAGAUUGAAGUUUUCGGUUCGGCCGGACGAAACACAGGUGCUGCAUGGCUGUCGUCAGCUCGUGUAGUGAGAUGUUGGGUUAAGUCCCGCAACGAGCGCAACCCUUACUUUUAGUUGCCAUCAUUAAGUUGGGCACUCUGAAAGAACUGCCAGUGAUAAGCUGGAGGAAGGUGGGGAUGACGUCAAGUCCUCAUGGCCCUUACGUGUUGGGCUACACACGUGCUGCAAUGGUAUUUACAAUAGGAAGCAAAACGGCAACGUUAAGCAAAUCCUUAAAAAAUACCUCAGUUCGGAUUGCACUCUGCAACUCGAGUGCAUGAAGCUGGAAUUACUAGUAAUCGUGGAUCAGCGUGCCACGGUGAAUGCGUUCCCGGGUCUUGUACACACCGCCCGUCACACCAUGGGAGUUGGUUCUACCUUAAGGCAAGGUUUUAAACCCUUGACCACGGUAUAGUCAGCGACUGGGGUGAAGUCGUAACAAGGUAAC